rnacentral:tRNA from 4 species
UGGGGCGUCGCCAAGCGGUAAGGCAUCGGAUUUUGAUUCCGACAUACCCAGGUUCGAAUCCUGGCGCCCCAGCCA